rfam:Peniophora sp. CONT PENSPscaffold_255_Cont355, whole genome shotgun sequence.
AGCAGCAUGGCGCAGCUGGUAUAGCGCGCGGGGCUCAUAACCCCGAGGUCCUUGGAUCGAAACCAAGUGCUGCUA